ACGGGUGAGUAACACGUGGGCAACCUGCCUGUAAGACUGGGAUAACUCCGGGAAACCGGGGCUAAUACCGGAUAACUCAACGAACCGCAUGGUUCGGUGUUAAAAGAUGGCUUCUGCUAUCACUUACAGAUGGGCCCGCGGCGCAUUAGCUAGUUGGUGAGGUAACGGCUCACCAAGGCAACGAUGCGUAGCCGACCUGAGAGGGUGAUCGGCCACACUGGGACUGAGACACGGCCCAGACUCCUACGGGAGGCAGCAGUAGGGAAUCAUCCGCAAUGGACGAAAGUCUGACGGUGCAACGCCGCGUGAGUGAUGAAGGUCUUCGGAUCGUAAAACUCUGUUGUUAGGGAAGAACACGUGCUGUUCGAAUAGGGCAGUGCCUUGACGGUACCUAACCAGAAAGCCACGGCUAACUACGUGCCAGCAGCCGCGGUAAUACGUAGGUGGCAAGCGUUGUCCGGAAUUAUUGGGCGUAAAGCGCGCGCAGGCGGUUUCUUAAGUCUGAUGUGAAAGCCCACAGCUCAACUGUGGAGGGUCAUUGGAAACUGGGGAACUUGAGUACAGAAGAGGAGAGCGGAAUUCCACGUGUAGCGGUGAAAUGCGUAGAUAUGUGGAGGAACACCAGUGGCGAAGGCGGCUCUCUGGUCUGUGACUGACGCUGAGGCGCGAAAGCAUGGGUAGCGAACAGGAUUAGAUACCCUGGUAGUCCAUGCCGUAAACGAUGAGUGCUAGGUGUUAGGGGGUCCAACCCUUAGUGCUGCAGUUAACGCAAUAAGCACUCCGCCUGGGGAGUACGGCCGCAAGGCUGAAACUCAAAGGAAUUGACGGGGGCCCGCACAAGCGGUGGAGCAUGUGGUUUAAUUCGACGCAACGCGAAGAACCUUACCAGGUCUUGACAUCUUCGGACCGCCCUAGAGAUAGGGUCUUCCCUUCGGGGACCGAAUGACAGGUGGUGCAUGGUUGUCGUCAGCUCGUGUCGUGAGAUGUUGGGUUAAGUCCCGCAACGAGCGCAACCCUUAACCUUAGUUGCCAGCAUUCAGUUGGGCACUCUAAGGUGACUGCCGGUGACAAACCGGAGGAAGGUGGGGAUGACGUCAAAUCAUCAUGCCCCUUAUGACCUGGGCUACACACGUGCUACAAUGG
rnacentral:rRNA from 1 species